rnacentral:tRNA from 1 species
AGAAAAGUAUUUAAAUUAAUAAAAUCUAAUUUGCAUUUAGAAAUUGGUUAUUCCCUUUUCUAAA